CAAAUUGGCUGCGUGCCAAUUUUUUGGGUGCGCGCAGGGCAGCCUCUCCUGCCGCGCUACGUGCGAGCGCACGCGUCAUGGGCGCAGCGGGCCCAACCGCACAAACCCUACCCCCAAUCCAUAGCCGCCACUCCCUUCCUCCUUCUCCUUCCUCCCUCGUCUGCCGCCGCCACUCCCUCCCUCCUCAUCGCCCUGCCUCCGCCCUAGGAGCUUCGCCGCCUCCCUCGUGCUCGUCCUCUCAUCUCCCAUGGAGGGGAGGGGUGGGGAUGUAGUGGAAGGAGGAAGCCAGAGAUGUUGCUGCUGCUGACGUCCAUGUAGAUGUUGUUGCUGUGGAUCGAGAAAGCAAAGAAAUUAGGGGGAGGAUGUGAGAGAGAAGGAAGGAGAGGAGAGGUCAGGGAGAGCCCCGGUGUUCUAACCCUACUGGGGCAUCUUUGCUCCAGGGAGAAAGGAGGGGACCAGCGGCACAAGGAGGAGAGGAGGCCAUCGAGGCGAGCGGGGAGGGGGUGGCGGCGUGGGAGAGGAUGGAGCAGGGAGGACAUGAGGCGAAGGGGGAGUGGGGCUCGGGAGCACAUGCCGGCGGCCGGCAGGUCGAAUUGUCGCGCCACCGCGUCGUCGCCUCCUCUGCACCAUGAGGCGCCACCUCUGCCUCCACCCUCCACUAGGAAAGGAGCUCGAGGUGAACAGGCAGUGGGAAGGUGAGAGGAAGCAGGAGCUCAUCUCUCCUCCAAUGGCUGCCUCGUGCAUCUGGAGUAUAAGGAGGACAACACGUGCCUGUUGGAGGCGACUUGAGCAACGCAGGCCAGCGACGAACUAGAUCUGACAUAGAAGACCACGUUCGUCAGAUUCGAUAGUUAUCUUCUUCCAAUGGCUCUAAUGGGAAUAUAUAUGCGUAUAUAUUGAUGCAUCGUUGCCAUGUCUGGCUCUUCAGGAUGUGCACUCUUGUCUCCAUCGUUAUACCUAUUUUGGAAUCCAUGGUAGCAUGCUGUGCUUUGUCGGCACAUUCGUGCAUGUGUGAGGUCGCAGAUGAAGAAGCACCGAAUGAUCAUUAUAUUCUCCUCUGCUCUGAUCUUCUAUUGACAUAUUGUUUUCAGUUGCUGUUUAGUAUGGAUGCCUCCAUGGUUGCAUAGGCAUCCAUGGUUCUGUGAGGAGGUUACCUAUGUCAUUCUGUUUUAUAUAGAUGUCUAAUUAGCUGGUUAUUUGAACAUGAAAAGGAGUACGACUCGGCACAAAAGUCAACCGUGGGGAGGUGCAACAUGGCGUGGCCUCAGCAGCCAAUUAGGUAUUGGAAGUUUUGGGUUCCAUGAAAUUAUUGGUGCUUAUCUACAAAGUUUAUUAUGCUUAUCAUUCUAGAUUUUCUGAUUCUCAGUUGAAUAGUACCGUUGAUAAAGCUACACGGUGGAUGCUAUUCAUUAUAUAAGAAUUUGCUGGUGUUUGAUGCAAAAUAUCGGUGGCCAAAAUGUUGUUAUGGUCAGGUCGACCUGAAUAUUAUGUUCGUUUGUCUACACCUCCUCCUGUGGUAUCCAGUUCUUCGAGUACUGGUCACCUCCUCAUGGUAGACACUUACAAGUGCUCCUGGUUGUUGAAAAUGCCUGAGACAAGUCACUAGCUGAGCCUAAUAAAAUAGUAAAGAAACUUUUUACAACAGUACAAAAAUGUAGAACAAAUCAAGUAGAAGAAGAGACAGAACGCACAAAAACUUUUGAAAGGAAUAUCAGUUUCAUACAUUAUUUGUAGUGCUAAAAUAAACAUACUGCAGGUUCAGGACUAAUUUAUUAUAGGCAAACCUGCACACAUGUGCUACUCUACCCAGGCUUAAUUCAUCCUAGCAAAAGAAAUCACAUCAUGAGCAAAAGAACAAAUUCACUACUAACAUUUCAAAUCAAGAUUUAUCCAUCUAGCAGUCCCAAAAUAUAUUUCUCUUCUCAUUAUUGCAGCAGCCUUUUCUGUACCAGCAAUGUGACACUGCACUACAAUAGAUAGCCUCCAGUAUAUAAUUAUAAUUCUGCGCGCACUUUGGAGCUAUUGGAUGCCUGAAUGCGUCGUGUUUCUCCAUUGUGCCAUGUUAAGACUUGCAUCUUGAGAGGAGGGAAAUAGUUAAGCAGGUUGUAUAGAGUUGCUACCAUACCAUUUCUUUGUGACUGCAUGGUCUCACCAUCAAUUUUCUUAAAAUAUAUUAGCCUCUUGUUCUUGGAAGAAUAGAUUUUCCAUCGCCUCUAUUUUACUUGCUGGGUGGAUUACAUGUUACUUCCUUGGAUGUUUAAAGGUUAUUAUAUCCUUGCUCCACUUUUUAUCGGCAAACAUUCUCUCAUCUUUUGGUAACUUGAGUAAGAUGCAACACACUAAUGCUUUCUUAGUCUGGUUUGUUCUUGCAAAAAAUAAUUGAAGUGUGCAGAUAGGAAGCAUGGAAACACUAAGAAGUUUCAUACGUACUAACAGCUGGAGUGAUUUCAUACCUGUAGUAACCGUCUUAGAAGAAAUAAUUUUUAGCUAUUUCUAAAGAUAUUAGACCAUACAAUUAUUCUUAAGUUAAAAUGUUUGGCACGGACUAACGUGUAUACGACUGGAGUGGUUCCAGAUUUGUUACAAGCUCCUUGUGUUGAGGAACAUCAAAGUGGGGAAGUUUCUAGUAUUUUCGAAUCUAUUAUUCAAAUGCUGAAGUGUAAUUUAUCACAUCCCUGAGAUAUAGGAUAUACACAUUUCACUAUACAGUCACUAAACCUAUGUUAUCAAGUUUUACCUUAGUAGUGUAUCACCAAUGUUUACAACUGUUUCAAAAAUAGAAGCAAUGUGGCUCACACUGAUCAAUCGCAUGUUUUAUCUCAACCAAUUUUUUAAAUUUUGACAUGCUAUUUUGAAGUAUAUAUUGGCAUUAUGCUAAAAAGGGACCUGAGAGGUGAAGUUUUAUUAUCUAUCCUGGUAGAAUAAUCCAAAGAAGAUAUGUUUUACUAACCAAUUUAUAUGCCUAAAGGUGCUGCUAUUGUUAUUAUUUUCUUAAUGGAUGCGCCUAAAUUUGUUUCGGUGCUCUUCUACUAAGAUUGACCAAAUGGGUGUUCUGCUAAAGUAAAAGUCAUAAGACUGAAAUAACAUGGGUCAGCCUUUGUAUGUCUGUUAGUGCUACAAACUAUUUGAAUGAAAGAUCUGACAAUACAUAGCACAUCGUAUGUCCAUAGUUGUGAUGAUGGUAGGUGCAGAGUCUUGACUACUGUAGGUUUAUAAGUAGCUUUCUCUGAAUGCUAAAUGAAUGUACCAUGUACCAUAAAUCCACCAUGUACCAUGAUCAUCUGAAUAGUCUUGCUUAAGUUUAUGUUAGCUCCAUAUGCUAAAUGAAUGUUCGCUUGUGUUCAAAUUUCAAGGAAGUGUGCUUCAUGCUUCUGUUUCUGCAAUAUGUUUAAGAUUAUAUGAUUUCAUUUUCCUUCAUUCCCAGUUAUAAAUUUAUUGGCGUCAAAGUAGAGCUUCAGGUUUAUGGUUGAGUAUAUCAUUGCAAAGUACUUUAUGGCUCAGUAUAUCACUACAGGUUCCUUACACCGUCAAAAUUCAAUGUUUUUGUAUUUUUCUCAAUGGAACCAUGUUCUUUGACUAUAAAGUAGCAGAGAUUUAUUUUCUUAUCAAUUCUAAUCCCUUUUUGAUGCAUUGUAGGUUUGCUAUCAAACUCUCAAAAAGGAAAAACAACUUUACUCUGUUUUUUGGAUAACCCUCCUGUAGAGUACCUCGACAGAGACAAAUAUGCCAUCACAGAUAUAUUCGAUUGAUUUUCAUGCAAAACUUGGAGGAUAUUUUUGCAGAUAUUUUGAUGCUCUCAUGGUUAAUCUUUUUCUUGGAACUAUUGGCAUGUAGAGGAGGCUGCGUUUUAUUUGUUGGUUUAUGUGAUUGGCGGGGAUGGAACAAUGAGAGGAGCAGUGGUGAUAUUCGAAGAGUUUAAACGGUGUCGUUUGAGGAUAUCCAUUACAGGGAUCCCAAAAAACUUGGACAAUGACAUCAAAAUCAUAGACAAGGCGUUUGGGUUUCAAACUGCAGUGGAGAGUGCUCAGUAGGCAAUCGAUGCGACACAUGUCAGGUUGUGAAUAUUAUGGAUGGCAUUGGUCUUGUCAAACUUAUGGGAAGGAGCAUGGGACACAUUACUCUUCAUGCCACCCUGAGCAGCCUGAGAUGUUGACUGUUGUUUGAAUCCAUAGAUCGAUUUCCAUGUUGAAGGGAAGGGGCAUGCUGUCGUUGUUGUUGCUAAAGGCGCUGGUCAGGAGUUGAUUCCCCGGAUUGAUGACCAGAAGCGAGAGCAGGAUGAGUAUGGCAACAUGUUGUUGCUUAGCGUUGGCCUUCUUCUAUAAAGUUUACAUACAAUUCACCUGCAUGGUAAAAAAAGCUACUAUACUAAUGUAAAUGUUCUAUUUCUUUGAAGAUUACUCAUUUCUCUUACCAUUGUUGUAUCGAAACAAUUGUGUAUUGGCCACUUGCGCUCAUUUUAUAGGAGAUUGAGAUGUGGGACAAGCUACUACCAAAUGUUUGGUUCCCAUCAAACCGUUUAUUUGCCAAUAAAAUAAAGGUUCCUUUUUUUAAAACACAUGAAGGACAACACUACAUAAGGGAGUUUGCCCUUUGGAAAGG
rnacentral:rRNA from 1 species